rnacentral:ncRNA from 2 species
UCCGCCGAGGGGCGCUGCAAGCCCGGUCCGCACCGCGGACAAGGGAUCAGGCUCGGCUGAGGUUCCGUACCAACCGCGCCCGUUAGAU